AUUGAACGCUGGCGGCAGGCCUAACACAUGCAAGUCGAACGAGUGGCGGAGGGGUGAGUGAUGUCUGGGCAACUGCCUGAUGGGGGUGGAUUACUACUGGAAACGGUAGCUAAUACCGCAUGCACUCAGAUGCGACCGGAUGGGAUUAGAUAGUGGGUGGGGUAACGGCUCACCAAGGCGACGAUCCCUAGCUGAUCGGAGAGGAUGACCGGCCACAUUGGAACUGAGACACGGUCCAGACUCCUACGGGAGGCAGCAGUGGGGAAUAUUGCACAAUGGGCGCAAGCCUGAUGCAGCCAUGCCGCGUGAAUGAAGAAGGCCUUCGGGUUGUAAAGUACUUUCAUCGGGGAAGCGUUACCCGCAUAAGAAGCACCGGCUAACUCCGUGCCAGCAGCCGCGGUAAUUC
rnacentral:rRNA from 1 species